ensembl:lncRNA
ACAGCGCAGGGGCGGAGCGGCAGCGGAGCAGGUGUCCUGGUUGCUGAGGGAGACCGGUAAAUAACGCCGACGUCACUGCCUUCCUGGAGCAGGCUGAGCGAAUUGGCACUUGCGCAGAGGUUUGCAGCUUGAGCGGGGGUUUAAUUAUAUAAUUAGGGACGCGUCCUGGGAGCAGGAGGAGCCACAUUGGUUGGUUCAGGAUGGUGUACGAAGCCCGGGGGCCUACGGCAGGGGUAGACAGGGAAUGGAGCAGAGUUGGCUUCAAAGCUGCAGUCUGCCCUGGGCCAUGGGGACGGCAGAGCCUAAGGGUGUUAACAGCCCUCCUGACGGUAACACUGCUGGGACUUAAUAGCUGAUUGAGUGUCAGGAACAACUGUGCCAGGAUGAGGUCGGAGUUUCUGGUCUGGGUGGAUGGCGUUGUUACUGUCUGGGAUGGAGAUUAUGGAGGGGUGGUGGUCGGUGAGACGGUAGUUCUAGUCAGGACUUAGGGGAGGCGAUAGGGGGCGGAUAGAAUGGAGAGGACCCACGAGAUUUUCUGGAAAGGAUAAGUGAGGAAGGAGUUGCGGGUGAGACCUCGUGGGCACAGGAAGGAGUCAGAGAUAGAAGUGUCCAGGGCUUUCUAGACUUUGCCCUCACACACGCUCAGACCACUGAGCUGUGACGGAAGGGGAGGGGCACCGCCCACACCCAGACAGGGCCUGAAGCUGAAUGAGGGACAGGGAUUCCGGAUCUCUCUCUCCAGGCCAGGCCUCCUCACCUUUUUUCAGGCCUUGCACCCUGCAGGUUGUCUCUGCUUCAAGAGUAAAUAUCUGUUACACUUAGGGAAGGAGGAGCCCCUUGAGAGGGGCUGGGCUUGGAGUCAUAGCCUGUUAAGUGCUGUCACGUGAUGAGACAAAGCCCAGGAACCAGCUCAGAAAAAGGCUGGAGACCUUGGUGAGUCAGUCAACUCUCAAAUCCAGUCACUCAUCUGUUAGGUGAGAUUAUACCAACCUAGCAGGGAUGUCAAGAGAUUUAAAACACUUGGAACAGUGCUAGCCACAGCAAAAUCCGUGGAGUUGAGGGUGGGACAGAGUGCUGUGUCUUAUGAUAAAGGCCUGAUGGUUGGAACUGAGCCUCAGCAUCCUGGGGGGUUAGUGAGCCUUCCCUGGCAUCAUCUGUCCUGGCUUAGUCUUCUGAAUAUCACGGCAGAGGUGGCAGCUACUGACAGGGAACUGGAUUGAGGUGACGAGACUGUAGAUGUGACACAACUCUCCAGAGUUUCAGGGGGCCUUGGAAAUGGCCCUGGUUAAACAUUAGAAUCACUCUGCAAAAAUUCCACAAAAACUGCCCAUUAUGGAAUGCAAGUUGGUGCAGCCACUGUGCAAAACACUGUGGAGGCUCCUCAGAAAACUGAAAAUAGUUACCAUACCACCCAGCAAUCGCAUUCCUGGCUGUAUACCUGAAAAAAAUAAAAACACUAAUUUGAAAAGAUACAUGCACUGCAAUGUUCAUAGCAGCAUUAUUUGUAUUUGCCAAGAUUAUGAAAGCAGCCUAAAUGUACAUUAGCAGAUGAAUGGCUAGGAAUUCCAGCUGUGGUGCAGUGGAAAUGAAUCUGACUAGUAUCCAUAAAGAUGCAGGUUUUAUUCCUGGCCUCGCUCAGUGGGUUGGGGACCGGGCUUUGCUGUGAGCUACAGUGUAGGGUCGCAGACGUGGCUCGGAUCCUGAGCUGCUAUGGCUGUGGUGUAGGCCAGCGGCUGUAACUCCAAUUCGACCCCUAGCCUGGGAACAUCCAUAUGCUGCCGGUGCAUAUCUUUCUUUUU